rnacentral:rRNA from 1 species
CCUACGGGGGGCAGCAGUGGGGAAUAUUGCACAAUGGGGGAAACCCUGAUGCAGCAACGCCGCGUGAGCGAUGAAGGCCUUCGGGUCGUAAAGCUCUGUCCUAAGGGAAGAAUACUGACGGUACCUUAGGAGGAAGCCCCGGCUAACUACGUGCCAGGAGCCGCGGUAAUACGUAGGGGGCUAGCGUUAUCCGGAAUUACUGGGCGUAAAGGGUGUGUAGGCGGCACGUCAAGUCAGAGGUGAAAGGCUACGGCUCAACCGUAGUAAUCCUUUGAAACUGUAGGGCUUGGGUGCAGGAGAGGGGAGUUGAAUUCCCAGGGUAGCGGUGAAAUGUGUUGAUAUUGGGAGGAACACCAGUUGCGAAGGCGGCUCUCUGGACUGUAACUGACGCUGGGGCACGAAAGUGUGGGGAGCGAACAGGAUUAGAUACCGGAGUAGUC